GCGGGGCGGGCGCGCAGGGGCGGGAGCGGCGGGGGCGCGCGCCGACGCGGGGCCAGCCCUGCUUCGCCCGGGUCGCGGGCGGACGCGCGCCGCAGUCGGAGCCUCAGACGCGCGGCGCAGGGGACACCGCGGGGCCGCCGGAGGCCACAGCUCCGUCGGGAACGGACAACGUCCGCGCUCCGGGGAGCCGGGCGGCCGCGCCGGGGCUGAGCGGUGGGCGCGGCGGAAGAACGAAUCCUUGUGGUGUUCUUCCUUAGCGCCCACUGCCCCUGUUUGCUGAAGACUUUGGCCAAAGCUGCUCUCAGCUGUUGGCAUCAUCCUGAGGAAAGGACAGCUUUCACACAUCAGGGAAACUUUCAGGAGACUGUGGGCCCCAGUGGAUCUUCUGAAGGUGAGAGUUAAUCAGUCCUCUCUUUGUCUUUAGAAAUCUAAAUUAGCUGUUCUGUCUUCCAAAAUCUACUUCUUGGAAAAGAGUGAAUAAGAGACCAGGUUAUUGAAAACUCUCUGUCUAGAAUUGAGAGUUUUUCUUUUUCAGGAGACUUUUUCAGUAGUUACGAAGGAAAUCACUUGGUUAUUUUGACAGAACAGGAAUUUAUUUGAUGUUGUGGCUCUGAUCUAAGAAGACUUAUUUGAACACACACACACACACACACACACACGCACACCUUGAGAAAUCAAUAACAUUUCUCUUCUCAAAAGACUUUCUUACGUAUUUAGUGUCUCUCAGAGCCUUCAUAAUAGCCUUACCUUGCCUUUUAGGAAUGUUUUAAGGACAAAACAAAACAACUUCAGUGAAAGCACUUUGUAAACCAUGAAGAUUUAUUUGCAUAAGUAAGAAAGACAAUGACUAUGUGGAAUCCUCCAAAAUACCCUUAUAUCCUCCAAUCUGUUUUUCUUUAUAUGGUUUGAUUCAUUUUUAAUAUGGUUCUGUAAACUUUGCAAGGAUCUCAAGGAGCAGAGGUGGUGAGUCCUUACCUCCAAGGAAUAUCUGUCAUGUGCAAGAGACAGACACAUGAAUAGAUAACCAAUUCCAAUAUGAUGAAAGUAUACUGAGACUGCAUUAAGGAGUGCAACAGAAGCUGAGGCAGCCUGGGGCCAGAGACUGUGUGUGUAAAAAGCAGGCUGCUUACAGGAGGUAACCCCUGAAGUGGCCCUUGAAAGAUGAAUAGGAGUUGGCCUAGUGGAGUGGCCUAGGGUCUUGUAGACAGGAGCAGCGGGAUGCGGGUGUGAAAUCUGCAUGCGGAAUAAUAAGUUGUUAGGGUUAUUGAACCACAGGGUAU
rnacentral:lncRNA from 1 species